rnacentral:rRNA from 1 species
UACUCCUACGGGAGGCAGCAGUAGGGAAUCUUCCACAAUGGACGAAAGUCUGAUGGAGCAACGCCGCGUGAGUGAAGAAGGAUUUCGGUUCGUAAACUCUGUUGUAAGGGAAGAACAAGUACAGUAGUAACUGGCUGUACCUUGACGGUACCUUAUUAGAAAGCCACGGCUAACUACGUGCCAGCAGCCGCGGUAAUA